rnacentral:lncRNA from 1 species
UUUAAAAUUUUAAUUUUAAUAUCAACAAACCAAAAUAAUUUAAAAAUAUUUAAAUUUUAAACAAACACUAUUUUAUCCGCACUGCGAAAGACCCUGGCCUGCUCAAGCCUCUUCUUUAAAAGAAGCUUUGAUCAUAGCCAAAUCCAUCUCCAUCAACUUCAAAAGUCUAAACAACUCAGUCACCAUUCUAUCCUCCAAUUUCCCUUCAUCUCUCAAAACCUCAGCCUCUUCUCUUGUUCUCUCUGCCACUAUUUCACCCGCCUUAGCCAAAAGCGCAGUUGAACCGAACUCUUUAUCCAUUAACCCCACCAACUUGUCCACAAAGUCCAUUAUCACAUACCCUACUGGCUCCUCUAGCUUUAUCUCUUUACUUCUUUUCCACCCCACUUCAUAGUUUGGUGGUUCACCGUUCACGAGGUCUGUUUUAGCCUUUCUUUCCCGGAUUAUUUGAGAUCGUCUUCGCUUCUCGAUAUGGUAGUCUGAGUUGUUCGAGGUUAUGUGGAAGGUGGAGCUGGGAAUGAGGAAGAUUAAUUGCCAUCAUCAAGUUCUGUUGGAGCUGACUUUGAGGGGUUUGAUCUUUCUUGACUGGUAAUAAUGAUGGGUUUGUGGAGGUUUGGCUGGUAGAUGAUUUUAGUAGUGAAAGAGAGUGGAAGCCAUAAGUGCUCUUGAGCUAAGUGAAAGGAAGAAGAUAAGGCCAGCUAUUAGUAAUUUGCCAAUGGUCCCUAUUGUUGAAGUGAGCAAUGAAAGAAGAUUUUUGCAAAAUAUCCCAAUGUGAUAAAUAGUAAUUUUACAUUUUUUUUCCACUUUUCUUUAAAUAAGUAAAUAUUUGUCACCAUACAUUAUGGUUCAUGAUGAC